ACGGGUGAGUAACACGUAGGCAACCUGCCGACAGGAUGGGGACAACAUUCCGAAAGGAAUGCUAAUACCGAAUGAAGUGCAGGGGAGGCAUCUCCCCUGCAUGAAAGAUGGCCUCUAUAUAUAAGCUAUCACCUGUCGAUGGGCCUGCGUCUGAUUAGCUGGUAGGUGAGGUAACGGCUCACCUAGGCGACGAUCAGUAGCCGGUCUGAGAGGAUGAACGGCCACAUUGGGACUGAGACACGGCCCAGACUCCUACGGGAGGCAGCAGUGGGGAAUCUUCCGCAAUGGGCGCAAGCCUGACGGAGCAACGCCGCGUGAGUGAAGAAGGUCUUCGGAUCGUAAAGCUCUGUUGCACGGGACGAAAACCGAGCUUGAAAAUAUCGAGCUUGGGUGACGGUACCGAGCGAGGAAGCCACGGCUAACUUCGUGCCAGCAGCCGCGGUAAUACGUAGGUGGCGAGCGUUGUCCGGAAUUAUUGGGCGUAAAGGGAGCGCAGGCGGACAUAUAAGUCCAUCUUAAAAGUGCGGGGCUCAACCCCGUGAGGGGAUGGAAACUGUAUGCCUUGAGUGCAGGAGAGGAAAGCGGAAUUCCCAGUGUAGCGGUGAAAUGCGUAGAUAUUGGGAGGAACACCAGUGGCGAAGGCGGCUUUCUGGACUGUAACUGACGCUGAGGCUCGAAAGCCAGGGGAGCGAACGGGAUUAGAUACCCC
rnacentral:rRNA from 1 species